AGCAGCCGGCCACCUCCAGGAGUGGCGUGGGGCCACAGUAUGCAGGCAGCUCCUAAAGCCCCUGCGUUAAUCCAGCCCUGGAGGCAGGCACCAACUGCUGCAGCCAAUAGAAGAAACAAACGCUGCUAUAAAGGAGAGAACAGAGACAGAAGGGGAGGUAGAAAGGUCUGGGACAGCAAAGGGGUGACAUCCUUGCUUCAGGCUCCCUCCAUGAACACAGCCAAGAGACUGAAGCAGACUGCUAGACUUAAUUAAAGCAGGGAGCCUGAGGACUGAGUAGUAUUGCACUACCCUUUACCCCUGGAGGUGUCUUUACAGAUCAUGGGACCCUUUGCUUGUCGAUCUCCCCACUUCCACAUGAAACGAGGUCAACAGAGACCAGAGCUGGUGUAAAGGUGCAAGAACUCCAUGCAGAUGGCCCUGGACUCCCAUGGAUCUCCAAGGAACCCAAUUUUGGGGGCAGGCCACACCACCUUUUUUAUAAAGCGCAAACCCCAACAGGAUGAUGUUCAGGUGAUAGAGGGGUCUCCAUUAGGAUGUCCUCAUGAAGAUUUUCUCUCUCCAAGACUCCUUCCUGUGGGUAUCAGCACAGAAGGGGAUGAUCUAGACUAAUAUUAUUGUAAUUAUUUUCUGUGUUUUAGUCUAGGUGAACUACUGUUGUUUUGUUUGUCUGUUUGUGUGCUUAAACUGAAGAUACAUUUUGGACUCUAAGUCUAUUUAAAUUCAUACACGUGAGCAGGCCUAUUGGCUUCAAAGGGAUUACUCACAUAAAUAAAAUUAUGCACAUUCUUCAGUCUUUGCAGGAUCAGGGUCUAACAUUGUGUCGCUGCACUGAGUGUAUAGUAUAUAAGAUGUGUCUAUAAAGAGAAUAAAAUAUUUACAUGGUUGUUCAAUUUUAAUAAAGCAGACCAUGCAUAUAACCCAAGGAAAUAUUGCAUACUUAAAAUCUACAAGAAGCAGCAAUGUUUUUACUAUAGCCACUUAAAUUGUCAGUGACUAAUCAGCCCUCCUGAAAACCCUAAUCCCCGCCUCCCACACAUACACUCUUUUUCUUACUUGAAAUGGUAUGAAUUUGCCAAUACAGUCUUAUGAAAACCCCAGAUAAAAUGUAUAUGUAUCCAAGCGAUUAGACUGUUUUGUAGCAUCUGUUGAUGCAGCAUAUGAGCCGUGUUGGGAGCACAAAACCCCAAAAGGCAUGAGGUAGUGUAACCUACACACCUUCUGGGUGUGGUGGUCUGUCCCAUUUAGCGGCACCGAGACCACUUAGAGAGAAAGAGAGAGAGAAAAUAAGUCUGCUCUGCAGCCUUAGCUAAUAGCCAGCUGGCUUUUAGCUCAUGCGGUAGAGGCUCAUGCACUAAGCUCCAGAGGUCCUAGGUUCAAUCCUGCCUGCCAACCCUGGUCAUCGGGGUUACAGUAGCAUGGGUGUUGGGUGGUAGAAAAUAUAUGCUCAUUCCUCAUACAGACAUUGGUAUUAGAGAUGUGAUCCCUCGAUUCAUUCCAGAUAUAUGAAAUUAAACAUGGUCUCUUAUAGCAAGUACCAAGCCCAGUGACUACUGCCCAUUUGGGGCCUGGAGGUAUAUUCACUACAUCAGUUGAAAGAACAGGGUCCAUUCCAAUGUGGUAGUACAAUAUGUCUUUCAUGGGAUCAUGUAAGAUGGCAUAACUUGAUAAGAUCCAAGAAGAGCAUCACUCUGAAAACAGCAUACAGGGAAAUGUUACAAUAUCCAAGAAGUCUAGAAACUAAGAGAUACUGUUCCAUCAAUGGACUCACAGGCACAGCUCUAAAAACAUGUAUUUUUUAAAUGUAGGCUAAGAAAGAUUUAGCAUGGCAUUUAAUGUCAAAAGACUGAAAUAGCAACCACCUCUUUCCAUUGUUUUUAGGAUUCAGCAGCUUGAGAAGCUUUCUGCCUACACCAAGGAAUUAAUAGCCUGGUAUAUAAUAUUAACAUAAAAUAACAGCUCUACUAAAAUAUGUGGAUGAGAAAACAGAGAAGCACCAACACUUAAUUAUAAAUCCUAAAAGUACCAUAAAAAACAAAUGUGUUUUAUACAGAUCUCUUUUCUUUCAUAAAAACUUAUAAUUGAAUGUUAGAAAGUCUACAAAAGAAGAAUAAAACUACCAAAUCUUCCCCUUAAAUAAAAGGUUAAGUCUUUAAUUCUAGGA